UACGUAGGUGGCAAGCGUUACUCGGAAUCACUAGGCGUAAAGCGCAGGUAGGCGGUUUGGUAAGUCUGUUGUGAAAGCUCCUGGCUUAACUGGGAGAGGUCAACGGAAACUGCCAGGCUCGAGUGUGGUAGAGGUAGCUGGAAUUCCCGGUGUAGCGGUGAAAUGCGUAGAUAUCGGGAGGAAUACCUAUGGCGAAAGCAGGCUACUGGACCAUCACUGACGCUGAUCUGCGAAAGCUAGGGGAGCAAACAGG
rnacentral:rRNA from 1 species